rnacentral:rRNA from 1 species
AUUACGUCCCUGCCCUUUGUACACACCGCCCGUCGCUACUACCGAUUGAAUGGCUUAAUGAGACUUUCGGAUGUGUUUGGAGCCGCUGGCAACAGUGACACCUUGCGCAGAAGUUAUUCAAACUUGGUCAUUUAGAGGAAGUAAAAGUCGUAACAAGGUUUCCGUAGGUGAACCUGCGGAAGGAUCAUUA